UACGAAGGGUGCUAGCGUUGUUCGGAAUCACUGGGCGUAAAGCGCGCGUAGGCGGCGUUUCAAGUCAGGGGUGAAAUCCCGAGGCUCAACCUCGGAAUUGCCUUUGAAACUGAAACGCUAGAAUAUCGGAGGGGAUAGCGGAAUUUCUAAUGUAGCGGUGAAAUGCGUAGAUAUUAGAAGGAACACCGGUGGCGAAGGCGGCUAUCUGGACGAUUAUUGACGCUGAGGCGCGAAAGCGUGGGGAUCAAACAGG
rnacentral:rRNA from 1 species